UAGUCCACGCCGUAAACGAUGGAUACUCGGUGCAGGGAGAAUCGAUCCUCUCUGUGUCUAAGCUAACGCGUUAAGUAUCCCGCCUGGGGAGUACGAUCGCAAGAUUAAAACUCAAAGGAAUUGACGGGGAUCCACACAAGCGGUGGAGCAUGUGGUUUAAUUCGACGAUAAGCGAGGAACCUUACCUAGGCUUGACAUCUAUCUAACGCUCUGGAAACAGGGAAGUGCCCUUUUGGGAAAGAUAUGACAGGUGCUGCAUGGUUGUCGUCAGCUCGUGCCGUGAGGUGUACGGUUAAGUCCGAUAACGAGCGCAACCCUUGUCGCUAGUUGUAUUUCUCUAGCGAGACUGCCCGUGUAAGCGGGAGGAAGGUGAGGAUGACGUCAAAUCAGCAUGGCUCUUACGCCUAGGGCUACACACGUGCUACAAUGGGGUAUACAAUGGGUAGCCAACCCGCGAGGGGGAGCCGAAUCCCACCAAACGUACCUCCAAGUUCGGAUUGAAGGCUGAAAUUCG
rnacentral:rRNA from 1 species